rnacentral:rRNA from 1 species
AUUGAACGCUGGCGGCAGGCCUAACACAUGCAAGUCGAGCGAGCGGCGGACGGGUGAGUAAUGUAUGGGGACUGCCCGAUAGAGGGGGAUAACUACUGGAAACGGUGGCUCAUACCGCCUACUGUCUGAUUACCCAUAUGGGAUUAGCUAGUAGGUAAGGUAAUGGCUUCCCUAGGCGACGAUCCCUAGCUGGUCUGAGAGGAUGAUCAGCCACACGGGGACUGAGACACGGCCCAGACUCCUACGGAGGCAGCAGUGGGGAAUAUUGCACAAUGGGCGCAAGCCUGAUGCAGCCAGGCCGCGUGUAUGAAGAAGGCCCUAGGGUUGUAAAGUACUUUCAGUCGGGAGGCGUUACCGACAGAAGAAGCACCGGCUAACUCCGUGCCAGCCGCCGCGGUAAUAC